rnacentral:misc_RNA from 1 species
AUAACGACCAUUACCAUUACAUAAAGACCAUUACAGAAAGUCAGUUUCAUUACAUAUGCAUGUUUUCUGUUGCUUUCAAAUAAUGGGUGCAACGAUAACGGAAGGCUAAAAGACCUUUAAAUAGCACAUAACUGAAGUUAUUAAAAACCAUGUUUUUAAUCUCUUAUCCAAACAUCAUCAGUCAUUGAUCUAGAAAGGCUUGUACUUGUUGAAAAGAGUAUCUAUUGCAUAUAUAAAUUUUUAAUAACCGCUGGGGGCAGCAUGAAGGAAAUUACUUUCACAAUCCAAAGCAACCUCAAGGAAAGUAAUUGUUCUUAAUUUGUUGACUUAAUUACCAAAGGGAAAAACAAAAAGCCACUAUACUAUUUGAUCAAUAUGCCAGAAUUUAAAUAAUUGGUUCAAUAAAUAGCAGCAGAAUAAUCAAAUUUCCAGCAUAUUUACAUUACAAAUAUUUGGUACAAUUAAUUAGUUUUUCCCUUCAUACAGCAAAAGAAUCUUUCAUAUCAACAAACUCCCAGUAAUUUCCAAAUCCUUUGGCCAUCAUCUACCAUAUGGAAACUAUGUUCUCCCAAGUAAAAUUCUCAACGAACAGGAAGCUCAUAAUCAACAAGCAAUAUGGCAAUUUCAUUGAGCAAGACCACCCAAGCAAAACAGGAAGCAAAAAUUAGGGGAAAAAAUGAUAGUAGCACUUACACCAGGUUUUCCAGGAAUAGUGCAAUGCCACACCAUCAAA